UAGCGAAAUUCCUUGUCGGGUAAGUUCCGACCUGCACGAAUGGCGUAACGACUUCUCAGCUGUCUCAACCAUAGACUCGGCGAAAUUGCAUUACGAGUAAAGAUGCUCGUUACGCGCGGCAGGACGAAAAGACCCCGGGACCUUCACUACAGCUUGGUAUUGGUGUUCGGUUCGGUUUGUGUAGGAUAGGUGGGAGACUGUGAAGCGGUGACGCCAGUUACUGUGGAGUCGUUGUUGAAAUACCACUCUGAUCGUAUUGGAUACCUCAACCUCGGACCAUGAUCUGGUUCAGGGACAGUGCCUGGUGGGUAGUUUAACUGGGGCGGUUGCCUCCCAAAAUGUAACGGAGGCGCCCAAAGGUUCCCUCAGCCUGGUUGGCAAUCAGGUGUCGAGUGCAAGUGCACAAGGGAGCUUGACUGUGAGACUGACAGGUCGAGCAGGGACGAAAGUCGGGACUAGUGAUCCGGCAGUGGCUUGUGGAAGCGCUGUCGCUCAACGGAUAAAAGGUACCUCGGGGAUAACAGGCUGAUCUUGCCCAAGAGUCCAUAUCGACGGCAUGGUUUGGCACCUCGAUGUCGGCUCGUCGCAUCCUGGGGCUGGAGUAGGUCCCAAGGGUUGGGCUGUUCGCCCAUUAAAGCGGCACGCGAGCUGGGUUUAGAACGUCGUGAGACAGUUCGGUCUCUAUCCGCCGCGCGCGUUAGAAACUUGAGGAAGGCUGUCCCUAGUACGAGAGGACCGGGACGGACGAACCUCUGGUGUGCCAGUUGUUCCACCAGGAGCACCGCUGGUUGGCUACGUUCGGAAGGGAUAACCGCUGAAAGCAUCUAAGCGGGAAGCCUGUUCCAAGAUGAGGUUUCUCACCCCCUCGAGGGGGUAAGGCCCCCGGCAGACCACCGGGUUGAUAGGCCAGAACUGGAAGUACAGCAAUGUAUGCAGGUGACUGGUACUAAUAGGCCAGAUCGGAAGAGCG
rnacentral:rRNA from 1 species